CCUACGGGAGGCAGCAGUGAGGAAUAUUGGUCAAUGGGAGAGAUCCUGAACCAGCCAAGCCGCGUGAGUGAAGACGGCCCUAUGGGUUGUAAACCUCUUUUGUCGGAGAACAAAACCCGGGACGUGUCCCGGACUGCGUGUAUCCGAAGAAAACGCAUCGGCUAACUCCGUGCCAGCAGCCGCGGUAAUACGGGGGAUGCGAGCGUUAUCGGGAUUUCUUGGGUUUAAGGGGUGCGUAGGCGGUCCGUUAAGUCAGCGGUAAGAUUGCGGGGCUCAACCCCGUCGAGCCGUUGAAACUGGCAGACUUGAGUUGGCGAGAAGUACGCGGAAGGCGCGGUGUAGCGGUGAAAUGCAUAGAUAUCGCGCAGAACUCCGAUUGCGAAGGCAGCGUACCGGCGCCAGACUGACGCUGAGGCACGAAAGCGUGGGGAUCGAACAGGAUUAGAUACCCUUGUAGUC
rnacentral:rRNA from 1 species